CCUACGGGUGGCUGCAGUGGGGAAUAUUGCGCAAUGGGCGAAAGCCUGACGCAGCGACGCCGCGUGAGGGAUGAAGGUUUUCGGAUUGUAAACCUCUGUCAGCAGGGAAGAACGGUCACUGUGCUAAUCAGCAGUGACUUGACGGUACCUGCAAAGGAAGCACCGGCUAACUCCGUGCCAGCAGCCGCGGUAAUACGGAGGGUGCGAGCGUUAAUCGGAAUUACUGGGCGUAAAGCGCUUGUAGUCGGUAUGUCAAGUCAAGGGUGAAAUCCCCGCGCUCAACGUGGGAACUGCCUUUGAAACUGGCAAGCUGGAGUGUAGGAGAGGAUAGUGGAAUUCCAGGUGUAGGGGUGAAAUGCGUAGAUAUCUGGAGGAACAUCAGUGGCGAAGGCGGCUGACUGGCACGUAACUGACGCUGAGGAGCGAAAGCGUGGGUAGCAAACAGGAUUAGAUACCCCGGUAGUC
rnacentral:rRNA from 1 species